rnacentral:tRNA from 1 species
GCCUGGCUGGCUCAGUCGGUAGAGCAAGUGACUCUUGAUCUCUGGGUCAUGAGUUCAAGCCCCACACUGGGUG